AGGUAAUACAGAAGUUGAAUGUGAUUUCAGUAAAGUAAGAACAGAGGGGAAAGUACACACGAUAUCUCAUAAUUAUGAUUUUAAUAAACAACUUGACGGAUUGCUGAUAUACUCAUAUAUAAAUGAAGUAACUGAAAAUCUCGAGGAUGGCAUUUUUAAAUUACUCAAAGACAGAAAGUACACCUGUCAACAAAAUAUCACACAAAAAUGCUUACCGGCCCAGGAAGCUGUUGUAUUAGCACAUGAUGAGGAACAGGAAGGGACUUUAAGCCAUCAAUGCCGAUGUAUUGUUAUGACUGUCAAGCCUUUUCAACUAGAUAACCCACC